rnacentral:rRNA from 1 species
UACAGAGGUCCCGAGCGUUGUUCGGAUUCACUGGGCGUAAAGGGCGCGUAGGCGGCGUGUCAAGUCAAUUGUGAAAUCUCCGAGCUUAACUCGGAACGGUCAAUUGAUACUGAUGUGCUAGAGUGCAGAAGGGGCAAUCGGAAUUCUUGGUGUAGCGGUGAAAUGCGUAGAUAUCAAGAGGAACACCUGAGGUGAAGACGGGUUGCUGGGCUGACACUGACGCUGAGGCGCGAAAGCUAGGGUAGCAAACGGG